CGUAGGGUGCAAGCGUUUAUCCGGAAUUAUUGGGCGUAAAGGGCUCGUAGGCGGUUCGUCGCGUCCGGUGUGAAAGUCCAUCGCUUAACGGUGGAUCCGCGCCGGGUACGGGCGGGCUUGAGUGCGGUAGGGGAGACUGGAAUUCCCGGUGUAACGGUGGAAUGUGUAGAUAUCGGGAAGAACACCAAUGGCGAAGGCAGGUCUCUGGGCCGUCACUGACGCUGAGGAGCGAAAGCGUGGGGAGCGA
rnacentral:rRNA from 1 species